CUGCCCAUAGCUCAGUUGGAUAGAGCAUCAGCCUUCUAAGCUGAGGGUCGCAGGUUCGAUUCCUGCUGGGCAGACCA
rnacentral:tRNA from 3 species